rnacentral:rRNA from 1 species
UACGAAGGGGGCUAGCGUUGCUCGGAAUCACUGGGCGUAAAGCGCACGUAGGCGGACUCUUAAGUCAGGGGUGAAAUCCUGGAGCUCAACUCCAGAACUGCCUUUGAUACUGGGAGUCUUGAGUUCGGGAGAGGUGAGUGGAACUGCGAGUAUAGAGGUGAAAUUCGUAGAUAUUCGCAAGAACACCAGUGGCGAAGGCGGACUCACUGGCCCGAUACUGACGCUGAGGUGC